CUAACUCCCUAUGAAGAAGAAAACUCCAAUGGAGAAAACAGAAAAGGAGUUUGCUCCAGAGUCUUGAAAUGUGCAGCUGCUCAUCUCACGAUCAAAGAAGCAAGUGAGAUCCUGUCCCCUGGCUGCCGAAGAACUAACCUGCCUGCCAACUCACCAGCUUAAGACACACUGCCUGGAUUCACCGUCAGACCACAGAAACUUCCAGGAACCUUGAAAAGUUGGUUUAUAACUUGAGUAAUAAACACGCUCUUUGAAUCCACCUCAAAACAGAGUUUGUCUGCGUUUGGGUUCUG